UAAUAUCAAGAAGUGAUAUUUAUGCAUGACAAUUUAGUGUUUUACUAUUGUUUUGUUAUUUUCUUUUUCGUCAAGCACUUUAAUAAUUAGAUAUACAUAUAUACUACAUAUUAAUAUAGCCAUGAUACUACAAGAAAUUGUCUUUAAAAAAAAAAAAAAAAAAAACCCGCUAGGCCCGCGAAGCCCACGAGCCCGGCCCGUUAAGCACAGGACCAUGUGGGCUUAGGCCCGUCACGGGCCGGUUCCACCCAUUAGGCCCACGAAGACCGGGACCGCCAGGCCCGGGACCGCCAGAGCCCGGGACCACGAAGCCCGGGACCGCGAGGCCCGGCCCGUUAGGCCCACUAAGGCCCGGGCCCGGGACAAAAUACAGCCCUACUUGUAGCGCUUGUAAACGGGCAAGCCCUUUCAGCACUUGAAGCUAUAACAGACUCCAACUAAAUGCCCAUUACGAUGAAGAGAAUGGGCUAAUACAUUUUGUUCAUAUCUUAAAAACAAAACAAUUAUGAUUAGACUAAAAGUGUUACUAUUUCCGUUCUAAGCAUAUAUUAGGCAUCAAAGUAUUAUAUUAUUGUGAAUUCACACUAUUCAUCAAUGUUAAAAAGAUAAAAAUUAACAUAGUUAGAAAAAUAUUAAAAGGGUUGUACACAUCAUACUUUUUUAACUAAAGAGGAUUUUGAAAAGAAAUCAUAGUUAAAUAUAAAUUUUUUGGAGUCUGACUAAUUCCCGCAUGAUACUAGUUACAUAUACAUUGGACAAAGGGAGUACGUCCAAAUGAAAUUACAAAGUAAUGUACAUUAACUCUUACUGUUCAUAUUUGUGUUAAAUAAAAUGGGAAGUUCUAAGGCAAACUACCAAAGAUCUUCAUCUUCCAAGUUAAAGCUUCAUUUUUAUACUCAAUUUUAAAGCAAAUAGGCAGCUUGACAAUUUACACGAAAUGAAUAUUGAGGAGAAAAAAGAAUUAUUUGAAACGCGGGAUAGUUAAUACAUUCAGGUAACAUAAUUAAAAUUUGAUUAAGUGAUCCCAUCAAAUGGUAUUAAUGUCCAUUUCUUUGGUUCAAAUCCAAGGAACAUCGAUAGCGGAAGCAAGUUCAUCACCUUUGCCAGUUUGGGAAUAGCCUUAUCCAAUUUCAGUAAACAGAUAUUUACAUUACAUUAACUAAACUAAAUACUAGAGUCUAAACCGAUUGAAUUGGACGAGUCCAUAGCUAAGCUUAAUUGUUUAAGAUGAUUCUUUGAAGGGGUCGUUUUCCAUUAACAUAAUUAAUGAGAUCAGCAUCAUAGAAUAUUUUAAUAGAAAAAAAAAAGCAGCAUCUAGAAGACCUAUUACACAAUAUAUAAAAGCCUAAAAAAGUUUAGGCACAGAAAUAUGAACUUAAAGAUCAAAUACGGAAGUUCACAAAUUUGAGUGCUUUAAUUUCUGUCUAAUAUGUAACAUCAUGUUUUUAUUAAUUUAAAACCAAGUCCUUGACUUCCAAGAAUGCCUUUUGUCUCUUCUCUAGGACUCUUUCCAUAAUUUGCAUUGAUAUAUUCAACAUUUAUUUACACCAUUUUCUUGCUGGUUCCAUCAAUUCCAUCUCCCUUGUGCUCCUCUCUCUCUCUCUCUCUCCCAAAAAUAAUGUUGAAGAGAUGUUUUAAUUGCUUUGGUGGUGAACAAAGACCAGAGAUCAGGUAUCUACUCAACCUUGACAUAUUCGUAUCUUCCUUACCUAUGCUUGAUUUACUUUUCUUUAAUUCAGCCUUGUUAAAAUUACAAGUAUUUUCUUUCUUUCUCGUGAAUCCAGUGCUCAGAAGAACAGGGAUUAUCCAUGGGAUAUUUACACAUUAAAAGAGCUUGUUAACGCAACAAACAAUUUCCAUAAUGAUAACAAAAUUGGUGAAGGAGGGUUUGGAAGUGUUUAUUGGGGUCGAACUAGUAAAGGCAUCGAGGCAAUCAAGUCUAUCAUUUUCCCUUUUCCUAAUUUAUUUGGAACUUUUUUCUAAAGUAGUCAAACUAAGGUUUCAAUAAUUAGUUCCCUUUUUUAUUCUUGGAUUAAAAAUCUCUCCUUUAUUUUUUUUCCCUUUAAUUGUUCAGAUAGCAGUUAAAAGGCUAAAGGCGAUGAGUGCAAAAGCAGAAAUGGAAUUUGCAAUAGAAGUGGAAAUACUUGGAAGGGUGAGACAUAAGAAUUUAUUAGGUUUAAGAGGAUUUUAUGCAGGCGAGGAUGAAAGGCUUAUAGUUUAUGACUAUAUGCCUAAUCACAGCUUGAUCACCCAUUUGCAUGGCCAACUUGCUGCUGAUUGCCUUCUGGAUUGGCCUCGACGAAUUAGAAUUGCUAUUGGAUCUGCCGAGGGAUUAUGGUAGGUACAUUCAAUUGAAUCAUUUCUCCAUUUGCGCGUGUUAUCCUUGCCCAAAUGAUAAUAAUAUCAAGUUAUGCUGAAUUGGAAUUGGUCUCUGUAUACUUCUGUUUGCCGGCCUCUCUUUUUCUAAUGAAGGCCUCUUAUUCUUCAACAAAGUUAUUCCCAACUAGUACUCCCCCGGUGAAAUAGUUUGAUGAAUAGUGUAUGUGUGUAUAUGUAUGUAUGUACGUAUGUAUGUAUGGAGCGGCCUGCAGCCUCAUAUUGUUUUUUUUUUUGUUUUUUUGUUUAAUUUGUAGUUACUUGCACCAUGAAGCAAAUCCCCAUAUCAUACAUAGAGACAUAAAGGCAAGCAAUGUCCUCUUAGAUUCAAAUUUCCAAGCAAAAGUCGCAGAUUUUGGAUUUGCUAAGUUGAUACCUGAUGGGGUUACUCAUCUAACAACAAGGGUUAAAGGAACCCUAGGGUAUUUAGCACCUGAAUAUGCCAUGUGGGGAAAAGUCUCUGAGAGUUGUGAUGUCUAUAGCUUUGGAAUAUUACUUCUCGAGAUAAUUAGUGCUCGUAAACCUUUAGAGAAACUCCCUAAUGGUGUUAAACGUGACAUUGUGCAAUGGGCACUUCCAUAUCUCCAAAAGGGUGACUUUAAUCACAUUGCUGACCCUAGGCUCAAAGGAAAGUUCAAUCGUGAUCAAUUGAAAAAUACAAUCUUGAUUGCAAUGAAAUGCACUGAUGGAAAUCCUGAAAACAGGCCAAGUAUGUUAGAAGUUGUGGAUUGGCUUAAGGGUGGGGUGGAAAAGAGGAAGAAAGAGAUCAAAAUAGUGAAGAAUGAUGUUGAUGACAACGAGAACGAUGACUAUGUUGAUGAUAUUGAGACUGACUAUGAAGAUUAUGCAAAGAAAAAAACCAAGCCAAGAUUACCAAUUUCGGAGUCGAAUAAGAGGAAAUAAGUUUCCAAUAAUCUUGCAAUUGUUCCGAAUUAUUGAACUGUAUAUUUUAGUGUGAUGUAUUUGUGCUUAAUUAUUGAAAGUUAAUUACCUCAUUUGGUACUUUUGAAGGUAAGAGGAGUCACUGAUUUCAUUCAUUCGGUUGAUUGAAAACAAUAGGCAUGAAAACUUUUUUCUCUUAUGCUAGAAUUUGCAUGAAUGUUGAUCAUUAAAGAAAUGGUACAUCAUUUCCACAGAGGACGAUACUAGAAAUUAACUAUUUCUGCAAAGAUCAGUGGUCAACAGCUUUUAUAAUAAUAACAUAGGUGGAUUAGAUCCAAGCAUAUAUAUACUACUCACGUUAUAAUUAAUUUCUUUAUUAUUAUUAUUAUUAUUAUUAUUAUUAUUAUUAUUAUUAUUAUUAUUAUUAUUAUUGUAUUAUUAUUAGUAGUAGUAUUAUUAUAGUUGCAUUUUCGCUGGUUUGUAGUUGUUAAUUUCUUCUUCUACUAUACAUAAUUUAUCUGAGAUAUAUUCAAUUUCCACAGCCGGCUUCUGAUGCGUUACGUAAGUUGCUAACAAGACGAUCUGAAAAGGUCAUUUAAUUAAGCAAUCAAUGCCUUUAAUUAGUUUAGUCAUGUCUUUAACAAAACUAGUGGCAUAUUAAUAAAGGUAGUGAGGGAUAUUAUAUAUUAUUAUUAUACUAAUUAAAGGCAUUGAUUGCUAAUUCCUAGCUACUCUCGGAGAUCUAAGUUAGAACACGGUAUUGUUCCUUCUAUUUUAUAAUUAAAGGACGGCAAGGAUUCUCAAAUUACGAUAUGAUGUAAACACUUUACAGUGUGUUUCGGUCCUCUUCGUUUCUCUUGAAAGUAAUAUUUAUGAAAUGCUGGGGUGACGAAUAAAAUAAAUAUCAUUUUGGUUCAGUGUUCCAGUACCAUCUAGUAAUGGAACAUCCUAAAACAACAACAACAACUCGGUAUAAUUUCACUAGUGGGGUCUGGGGAGGGUAGUGUGUAUGCAGACCUUACCCCUACCCUGGGAUAGAGAAGCUGUUUCCAAUAGAAACUCGGCAU
rnacentral:lncRNA from 1 species